UGGGGAAUAUUGCACAAUGGGCGAAAGCCUGAUGCAGCAACGCCGCGUGAGGGACGACGGCCUUCGGGUUGUAAACCUCUUUUAGCAAGGAAGAAGCGAAAGUGACGGUACUUGCAGAAAAAGCGCCGGCUAACUACGUGCCAGCAGCCGCGGUAAUACGUAGGGCGCAAGCGUUAUCCGGAAUUAUUGGGCGUAAAGAGCUCGUAGGCGGUUUGUCGCGUCUGCUGUGAAAACCCGAGGCUCAACCUCGGGCCUGCAGUGGGUACGGGCAGACUAGAGUGCGGUAGGGGAGAUUGGAACUCCUGGUGUAGCGGUGGAAUGCGCAGAUAUCAGGAAGAACACCGAUGGCGAAGGCAGAUCUCUGGGCCGUAACUGACGCUGAGGAGCGAAAGGGUGGGGAGCAAAACAGGCUUAGAUACCCUGGUAGUCCACCCCGUAAACGUUGGGAACUAGUUGUGGGGUCCAUUCCACGGAUUCCGUGACGCAGCUAACGCAUUAAGUUCCCCGCCUGGGGAGUACGGCCGCAAGGCUAAAACUCAAAUGAAUUGACGGGGUCAUAGCUGUUUCC
rnacentral:rRNA from 1 species